AACGCAUCUUGCGCUUCUUGGUAUUCCAAGGAGCAUGCCUGUUUGAGUGUCAUUAAAGUUCUCAAAACCCACAUGGUGGAAUUUUGGAUAAUGGGGGCUGCAGGCUUCUAGAAGUCGGCUCUCCUGAAAUGUAUCAGUGGUAUCUGUGGAGUCCUACUGGCGUGAUAAAUAAAAUCUAUGCCUUGUCUCUCAUUGUGCUGCUUCUGACGAGUUGGAUUGACAAAUUUGACCUCAAAUCAGGUAGGACUACCCGCUGAACUUAA
rnacentral:misc_RNA from 2 species